rnacentral:rRNA from 1 species
GAUGAACGCUAGCGGCAGGCUUAAUACAUGCAAGUCGUGGGGCAGCAUGAAGUAGCAAUACUUUGAUGGCGACCGGCAAACGGGUGCGGAACACGUACACAACCUUCCUUUUAGUGGGGAAUAGCCCAGAGAAAUUUGGAUUAAUACCCCGUAACAUAGCGAUGUGGCAUCACAUUGCUAUUAUAGCUUCGGCGCUAGAUGAUGGGUGCGCGUAUGAUUAGAUAGUUGGCGAGGUAACGGCUCACCAAGUCUACGAUCAUUAGCUGAUGUGAGAGCAUGAUCAGCCACACGGGCACUGAGACACGGGCCCGACUCCUACGGGAGGCAGCAGUAAGGAAUAUUGGUCAAUGGACGAAAGUCUGAACCAGCCAUGCCGCGUGAAGGAUUAAGGUCCUCUGGAUUGUAAACUUCUUUUAUAUGGGACGAAAAAAGGUCUUUCUAGAUCACUUGACGGUACCAUAUGAAUAAGCACCGGCUAACUCCGUGCCAGCAGCCGCAGUAAGAC